rnacentral:rRNA from 1 species
UCGUCACACUAUCAUUAACUGAAUCCAUAGGUUAAUGAGGCGAACCGGGGGAACUGAAACAUCUAAGUACCCCGAGGAAAAGAAAUCAACCGAGAUUCCCCCAGUAGCGGCGAGCGAACGGGGAGGAGCCCAGAGCCUGAAUCAGCAUGUGUGUUAGUGGAAGCGUCUGGAAAGGCGCGCGAUACAGGGUGACAGCCCCGUACACAAAAGCGCAUGUGCUGUGAGCUCGAUGAGUAGGGCGGGACACGUGGUAUCCUGUCUGAAUAUGGGGGGACCAUCCUCCAAGGCUAAAUACUCCUGACUGACCGAUAGUGAACCAGUACCGUGAGGGAAAGGCGAAAAGAACCCCGGCGAGGGGAGUGAAAAAGAACCUGAAACCGUGUACGUACAAGCAGUGGGAGCCC